rnacentral:rRNA from 1 species
UACAGAGGUCUCAAGCGUUGUUCGGAUUCAUUGGGCGUAAAGGGUGCGUAGGUGGCGGGGUAAGUCAGGUGUGAAAUCUCGGGGCUCAACCCCGAAACUGCACUUGAUACUGCCUUGCUCGAGUACUGGGAGAGGAGAUUGGAAUUUACGGUGUAGCAGUGAAAAUGCGUAGAUAUCGUAAGGAACACCAGUGGCGAAGGCGGCUCACUGGCCCGGUACUGACGCUGAGGUGCGAAAGCGUGGGGAGCAAACAGG